GGAUGCGAUCAUACCAGCACUAAAGCACCGGAUCCCAUCAGAACUCCGAAGUUAAGCGUGCUUGGGCGAGAGUAGUACUAGAAUGGGUGACCUCCUGGGAAGUCCUCGUGUUGCAUUCC
rnacentral:rRNA from 1 species